GAUCCUGGCUCAGGAUGAACGCUGGCGGCGUGCCUAAUACAUGCAAGUCGAGCGGAAAGGUUCUCACAAUUUGCUUAAGCGGAGACAGGUCGCGGCCCCAAAGGGGACGCAUCUUCAUCGAAGUGAUGAGCGCCCAUCUUAAUACCAACUAAGUAGAAAAGAAGGGUAGCUUGAGCAAAAUGUGAGAACACUCGAGCGGCGGACGGCUGAGUAACACGUAGGAACGUACCCCAAAGUGAGGAAUAACUGCUCGAAAGAGUAGCUAAUGCCACAUGUGCUCUUCGGAGUAAAGCUUCGGCGCUUUGGGAACGGCCUGCGCAUGAUUAGCUUGUUGGUGAGGUAAUGGCUCACCAAGGCGACGAUCCUUAGCUGGUCUGAGAGGAUGAUCAGCCAGACUGGGACUGAGAACGGCCCAGACUCCUACGGGAGGCAGCAGUAGGGAAUUUUCCACAAUGGGCGAAAGCCUGAUGGAGCAACGCCGCGUGCAGGAUGAAGGCCUUCGGGUUGUAAACUGCUUUUAUAUGUGACGAUUAUGACGGUAGCAUAUGAAUAAGGAUCGGCUAACUCCGUGCCAGCAGCCGCGGUCAUACGGAGGAUCCAAGCGUUAUCCGGAAUUACUGGGCGUAAAGAGUUGCGUAGGUGGCAUAGUAAGUCUGUAGUGAAAGCGUCCCGCUCAACGGGAUAUACAUUAUGGAAACUGCUAAGCUAGAGGGCGAGAGAGGUUACUAGAAUUCCUUGUGUAGGAGUGAAAUCCGUAGAUAUAAGGAGGAAUACCGAUGGCGUAGGCAGGUAACUGGCUCGUCCCUGACACUAAGGCACGAAAGCGUGGGGAGCGACCGGGAUUAGAUACCCCGUUAGUCCACGCCGUAAACGAUGGAUGCUAGCUGUUAUGCGUAUCGACCCGCGUAGUAGCGAAGCUAACGCGUUAAGCAUCCCGCCUGUGGAGUACGAGCGCAAGCUUAAAACAUAAAGGAAUUGACGGGGACCCGCACAAGCGGUGGAGCGUGUUGUUUAA
rnacentral:rRNA from 1 species